rnacentral:rRNA from 1 species
UACAACAUAGUGUUAAUGCAUUGGAUCCCAUUAGAACUCCGCAGUUAAGCGCGCUCAUGCUAGAGUAGUAUUGGGCUGGGUGACCACCCAGGAAGUCCUAGUGUUUUAC